ensembl:lncRNA
UUAAUUCAUCAUCUGUGGGUGCAUUAAGUAAACCACUUAAAUAGAGUUAUUGGAACUCUUUUUUGGAUUAUAGCCCCAGCACCAUACUGAAUAGAGCAAACAUUUUGGUUUGUGGAAAAUACAUUAUCUAAAAUAGUGGCUGUUAUUUGCACCUCUUCUAAUGUAAAGCUGACCUGCAUAUUACAACCACUACGUCCAAAUGAUGGUUUUUUUUUUUUUUUUUUUUUUUUUUGGACGGCUUUGGAGUAUAUAGACAAAACCAUUUGACUGACGGCGUUGUGAGGGAACGCAUCAUCCACCCCUGCAGCGGUCGGCCUUUGCUUCCAAAAAGUCUGGACCAGACUCGAGCAGGACUCUGAAGCGAGGAAAGGCGAACGUCGACUGACGGGUGUCCCUCCGUAACCGCCUACGGUCGUCGCGAUGCAGCUCAACCUUUGCAAAUUACCCCGCUUAUCACUUUCUCAGAAGCGCGAGGCAGCUUUCAAGAAGGAAGAAAUGAUGCCAUCACAGAGGAGCCCGUUUCAGUUUCGCUCCCGCUUCAACAUCGGCGUGCGAAGCGUGCGGCGAUUUGUGAAAUUUCAGUGAUGUUCAAUAGUUGUAAUCCUGAUUUCGUAGUGUGAGGAUCUCGUUUGUCUUUAAAAGAUUACGGCGAAUUUACAUUAAUGAAAUGAUGACGGAUUAAAUAAGACCGUGCUAUUUUGAACCGUAAAGAUGUAUGCUGCCGCGUUGAAUGAGGACCGCUGCCUGUGCAUCCGUCGCUGUAAAACACAUCUCCGGUAAUUUGACGUGACGGGGACAUCCGCCGCUGGAAGCGACAGUGUGGCACAGCAGGGCGAUAUCGACCGAGGUAACGUUGGGCCGCGAGUGCUUAAAAAUCAGGGCGGACGCUCUGAACGGUUUGCGCUCCUGGCACAUCGUGCAGUAUUAAGGGAGGAAUAGAAACAUUGACCGGUGUCCCGUCGGACGGCCGAGAGAAAGAGAGCGGUCAGCACGCCUGGAGAUCUUCCUGCCUUUUUAAUGGGGACAAAAGCCAGAGAUGAUGGAGAGCUACUGUUGUUGACGGGACUGGAGGCGGACGCUUCCGAAGAUCGCGUCGAGCGGAUCGGGCCUGGGAGCGAGGAGACGAGCCCGUGACUCGGAACGGAGGCGCAGGAGUAAAACGCAUUCGGGGAUCAACAGGAACCCGAAAGGGUAGUUUCACGUUUUUCUCCCCGCAGCGAUAAGCAGAGCGGUGCGCCUCGUGCCUAAUGUGUAAUACAAGAGAAGCAGCCAGCCAGCAUUUUAACGCAAACUAAUCAUCUGUAUUUUUUUUUUUCCUAAUUGAACCAAACGCAUGCCACGUUAUCGCAUUGAAGUCAAGGCCUCUAUUUGUUGAGCGUAACUCUUCGUACGCAACCGAAAAGCUAGACGUCGGCGUCUCUCCGUGCGUAAACUGACUUUCUCACCGUUUCGGGACGGUUCUUUCUCUGUCCGCGUAUGUUCGGCAGGAAGCGGCUCUACGAAGGACUUCUUCGUGGCGUUUUUAGACGGGAGGAGGAAGCGCUAAAGACCCGAGGAGGCGACCGCGGAGCCCCGCCCUCCUAUG